GUUUUAUACAGUGGAACCCAUACCCAGAGAUUCUGUUUCAGAAGAUUUGGGAUAGAUGCAGAAAUCUGCAUUUUAAACAAGCUACUCAGAUGAUUCUAAUGCAGGUGUUUUUCAUGCACCAUCUCACUGAGACCUCAACAAAGUUUUUAUGAGUUCUGUCUCUGGUGUGGUCUAAUGUAGCAGCACCAUUACUGUUCCUGAGUAAAAGCAUCCCGAUCUUGGGUUUUUGGUAUCACUGUGAAUUUCUGCUCAAAAGUAGCAAGAUCUCUUGGACAGUGGCUGCUUCCAUGUCAGGGGCUGAAGGAGUGAAGAUGGUCCUGGAACUUUUCUUUGCAGAGAAGCAAGGAGGGGAUGCCUUCAAAGUUCUGAUGGAGCUGAACAAAGAAGCCAGCUUACAGCUUACUGGCCAAGGUUUAACAACUUGAGCAUCAAAAUGGAAAAUACAAAUUGUAAUUAAUUAAAACAAGUAGACUGUGAAAAA